UAUGGGCUGUAUAUAGGUUGGUAUAGCUGCUGUAAAUGUGGUAGUUGGCAAGGGAACGUUACAGGUGUGAGUGUGUUAAGUGUUAGUGCAUGUCUUAUGGGGAAACGCGUGUAGUUUAGGUAUACAGGUUAAAGGUAUAAGAAAGCUUCAAGAUAAGGUGGGGGAGCAAGGACAAGAUGAUAUUGUGUUGAAUUGGUAGUAUUAGGGGACGCCGAUAUUGGUUAUCAUUACCUAGAAAAAGUAAGUUGAUCGCCGAUAGUGGUGAUGGUCGGGGGACUCCGAUAGGAAGGGGUUUGGUUGCUGAUAUUGGUGAGGGAAAAGGAUGGUAUCUGUGUAUGUGUGUGGCCUAUUAGGGGUCGAGAAAUAGGCGGGUUAUUGGUAAUCGCUGAUACUGGUGACGGG
rnacentral:lncRNA from 1 species